rnacentral:rRNA from 1 species
AACGGCCGCGGUAUCCUAACCGUGCGAAGGUAGCGUAAUCACUUGUUCUUUAAAUGAGGACUAGUAUGAAUGGCACCACGAGGGUUAAACUGUCUCCUUUUUUUAAUCAGUGAAACUAAUUUCCCCGUGAAGAAGCGGGGAUUCUUUUAUAAGACGAGAAGACCCUAUGGAGCUUUAAACAAGUUAACACCUGCUACUAAUCUUCACUUUCCUGAACCACCACAUUAAGUAUAGCACCUCUGAUUAACAGUUUUCGAUUGGGGUGAUCAUGGAGCAAAAAUCAACCUCCACGACGAAAAGGAACACCUCCUUGAGCCAAAAGCUACAACUUUAAGCACUAAAAAACUAACGCACUUUGACCCAAUUCUUUGAGCAACGAACCAAGUUACCCUAGGGAUAACAGCGCAAUCCACUUUAAGAGCUCCUAUCGACAAGUGGGUUUACGACCUCGAUGUUGGAUCAGGGUAUCCCAGUGGUG